UGCUGUGGGGGUGCUCCGCUCCAGCAUUCCCACCACGGCCACUGUUGCUUCUUCGUUAAGCUGCUUCUACCUUGUUUCUUCUUUUAUGCCUUUGGUAGCAAAUCUCUGCCGCGUUGGUUGUUUGGUUGGUUUUUUUCUGUCUUCGGCAGCAGCCUCGCUGGCUCAAGUUUUUGUUUCUGUUUCACCACUUGCUUUCUUUUUUUUUCAAUUAAAGAAUCGAAAUCUAUGUCCGAGGAAUUUGUUUUUUCUUUGCUCACUUCUCUGCAAUUCUCGUUUCUAAAAUUUAGUUUUUACUUUAUUUUGGUCGUUCUGUUAUCCCUUUUAUGAUUUUUGCUUGAUUUUAUUUGCACUUCACUUACGCACUUCUCUUCCUACAAAAGUUUUCUUUUCAACAUUUGUAAUUUUGUGCCGUCCUCUUGCUCUCGUUUUUUUUCACUUUUUUAUCUUUUGCUUUGCACUUAAAAGGGAAUUUUGAUUUCUCUGUUUCGUUAGGAACCUGAAAAUUGCAAUUUUGAAUUCACCCGGAAUAUGUUGUGAUGACUGUGAGCGAAAGCAAUUGGCUUCGAAUUCGACCACUUGACGAAAGCUGUCAAAACUAUCAAAUACCCGCAAUAUCGGAGGAAGGAAAAUUCAGAUAAGGAAGUUAAAUGGAUAACCGAUAAUGAUCAAGGAAAAUUUGAAUUUAGUAUAUAAAAGUCCGUUCUAAUGGCUUAAUUUAAAUGUAUAUAUUUUUAAAUAAUACGUAUAAUUUUAUACUUUGUA